CUUACGGGUGGCUGCAGUAAGGAAUAUUGGACAAUGGAGGCAACUCUGAUCCAGCCAUGCCGCGUGAAGGAAUAAGGCCCUAUGGGUUGUAAACUUCUUUUAGACGGGACAAAACCCCUUUACGUGUAAAGGGUUGAUGGUACUGUCAGAAUAAGCAUCGGCUAACUUCGUGCCAGCAGCCGCGGUAAUACGAAGGAUGCAAGCGUUAUCCGGAUUUAUGGGGUUUAAGGCGGACGGAGAAGGACGGGGAGAAAGCCUGCAGCUUAACUGCAGAAUUGCCGUUGAUACUGUCAGUCUUGAGUACAGUUGAGGUAGGCGGAAUGUGUCAUGUAGCGGUGAAAUGCUUAGAUAUGACACAGAACACCGAUUGCGAAGGCAGCUUGCUAAGCUGUAACUGACGCUGAGGCACGAAAGCGUGGGGAGCAAACAGGAUUAGAUACCCCUGUAGUC
rnacentral:rRNA from 1 species